UGUGUGUGUGUCUCACGGGUGGUGGUUGCUUCUCUAUUAUGAGGUGUGAUGUACUUUUUGUUGCAUCAAUUGCAGGUGGGUGAAAGACAGCAAACAUGGCUUGUCGCAAGAUGAAGCGAGCAGCCUCUUGGACAUGCUUCGAGACUUGGCCUAUGAGCCACCAGCACAGAAAGGCCCAGUUGACAGUGGGUAUCGCCAGCUUGAGCUCAAGCUGCAGGAGUCACAGGUGUGGCAGGACCACAAGGCUGUUCAAUCCUGGCUGCAAACAAAGUGGUUGGCAAUACCAGAGGUUCGGCCUCAUUUCCUCUGUGUUGCGCUGACGAGUCCACAAAGGACGAAACAGUUCUGUCCGCAGAUUGAGUACUUGUCAUAAUUAUGUAAUUUCUUUCUUUCUAUGGUAAAAGCAAAAAGGACCAAAGAACUACAAGAUGAUGAUAACUUUGCAGCUUAGAAAGCGUUUGUGGGCAGGCAUGUUCUUACCGCCCUAUUGCCAGGUGUGUAUUUACCACCAUAUGAAUCAGCCAUAAGCUUUAAUUAACUUGUUAUUUUGUUCUUCUUGUGCAGUGCUGGGCCAGGGCGUGGACAGGUGUAGGCUAUGGUUUGAAUGUAUAUAACAACAAUGGCGUUGAAGCUCAAAAUAAAAUCAGAAAACCUCAGUAAAACAGACUUGCCUGAAAUCCAAUAGUUUUGUUUUGCAAAGCCACGAGCAAAUUGAAACUCUUCACGUAGUUAACCAUGGACAUGAAUUUCAAUUUUAAUUUCUGCUAGCACAGGUCAACAUGGACGAUAGCCACUUUGUGUAGUAUGGUUUAACUUGGCAAUGUGAAGCGUGCUGCUCGGUGUAUGGGUGGACUGGAAUGUGAACAAUACGAGUUUCUAAACUGUAUCCACGUUACAUCUUCUCGGUUUUCUUUUCCAGGUCCUUAAAUAUACUUUCCUGCCACGCAACAGAACAACACUGGCAACUCUGUUCACUACCAUCAUUGACGUAUUCCUGCCGAGUCAGCUGAGAGAGUUCUCAUUCCUCAAUGUGGUGAGGGCAUUUAGAUACCAGCUCA